rfam:Ipomoea nil DNA, scaffold: scaffold0878, cultivar: Tokyo-kokei standard.
GACUUCGUGGGCCAAUGGAUAAGGCGGUUGUCUAUGAAACAAGAGAUUCUGGGUUCAAUCUCCAGCUGAGUUG